UUAUUAUGCUGCUCUAUUAAAUCAAUGUGGAUCGACAGUCGAAGAGGUUAUUUUACAGAGUUAUGGCAGUUUCCUACUAAAAGACUGUUUUAUAACUAAUCCUGGUGGAGAAGAACAUGCAGUAAUCUUCAAGAAUUCUUGUAUCAAGAGCUUCACAUUUGUAGUACAUGUAGGGACAUAGGGGAGCCGGUUUUCAAACAUUUCAACUGACAAGAAUAAUACAGCUUUGUAUUUUGCUUCAUCGUUUGACACAAGGUAAAAAUUCUACAUUCUAUUUCAUCUCCCGUCCUUUAUGGGCUAAAUUAUUAUCCUGGACAUAAUUAGAUGUUUAUCUGUUUAAUAAAUGAUUUACUACUGUUUGAAUAUUCAAGGCAAUUACAUGUAAGUUUGGUCUGCUUGUAAAAUUAACCCCGAAACUAGUGGAUUUUUCAAUAGUAAAAUUUUGUGAUUUGAAUGAAGUUUCAGCAGAAAUGAUAUUUCUCCUUAAUAAUAAUAAUACCGUAAGUAACGGUGUAUUAACCGCACCCGUGUAUUAACCGCACCCCCAACU